UUAGUUUUGUAGGAAAAUGGACCGUUGCUUCCAAUGGUUGUGUUUUGCAUUCCUGCAAGUACUGACAGAAGUUUCUGCACUGUUAAAACACUGACACAAGAUUAGACAAGAGGACUUGCACUUAUCCUGAAUACCUGCAUGCUUCAAGUGCAUUGGGAGAGAAGGGGCUGGGAGCCAACUGUCUUUAGUUUGGUCUAUGGGAAAAUGCAGAUCCAGGACAACUUCUAGGUCCGGUUCAUCUGGUUCUAUUGCAACACAUGUCAGGUGGGGAAAAGCAAGGUAAGAAUUUAAAGCAAUCACUUCAGGCAAAUUUUAUUUUACUUCUGUUGCUGAUUGGCUUUCCAUUGGGCUCUUUUCUUCAGUCCCAGGAAUGACUGAAGUUCUGGAUACUGUUGUUAUUAUUAUUAUUAGAUUAUUGUGAAUGACCUUAAACUACAGGGGUGUAGGUUGUA